rnacentral:rRNA from 19 species
GCCGCAGUAGCCUGACUGUGCUAAGGUAGCGCAAUCACUUGCCUUUUAAUUGGAGGCUGGUAUGAAUGGCUGGUCGAGGGUUUAGCUGUCUCUUUUAAGGCUUUAUAGAAAUUGCUUUUAGGUGCAGAAGCCUAGAUUUUAAUGAAAGACGAGAAGACCCUAAUGUGCUUUAAUUUGAAAUUUUUAUAUUAAAAUUUAGGAUUUUUGUUGGGGAAACAUAGGAAUAUAAAAAGCUUCCUUUAUUAAAUAUUUAGUCCGCUAUUUUAGAAGCGAUUAUAGAAAAAGUAACCAUAGGGAUAACAGACUAAUUUCCUUUGAGAGUUCACAUUAACAAGGAUGUUUGGCACCUCGAUGUUGGCUUAAGAAUGUUACUAUGAAGCAGAAGUCUAGUAAAUGGGCUUGUUCAGCCUUUAAAUUCUU